AACGCACAUUGCGCCCGCUGGUAUUCCGGCGGGCAUGCCUGUUCGAGCGUCAUUUACACCUCUCAAGCUCUGGCUUGGUGUUGGGGCCCUACGGUUCACGUAGGCCCUUAAACUUAGUGGCGAGCUCGCUAGCACUCCGAGCGCAGUAGUAUUCUUCUCGCUUAGGGCGUGUGGUGGGUGUCUGCCGUUAAAAAACCCCCUUCUAAGUUUGACCUCGGAUCAGGUAGGGAUACCCGCUGAACUUAA
rnacentral:misc_RNA from 1 species